rnacentral:rRNA from 1 species
UGUCUACGUCAUACCACCCUGAAUAGGCCCAAUCUCAUAUGAUCUCAGAAGCUAAGCAGGAUCUGGCCUGGGUAAUACUUGGAUGGGAGAGUAAUCAAUCUAGAUUGGAGCAAGAGCACAGACAG